rnacentral:rRNA from 1 species
AUGAACGCUGGCGGCGUGCCUAAUACAUGCAAGUCGAGCGAACGGACGAGAAGCUUGCUUCUCUGAUGUUAGCGGCGGACGGGUGAGUAACACGUGGAUAACCUACCUAUAAGACUGGGAUAACUUCGGGAAACCGGAGCUAAUACCGGAUAAUAUUUUGAACCGCAUGGUUCAAAAGUAAAAGACGGUCUUGCUGUCACUUAUAGAUGGAUCCGCGCUGCAUUAGCUAGUUGGUAAGGUAACGGCUUACCAAGGCAACGAUGCAUAGCCGACCUGAGAGGGGGAGGCGCCACACUGGAAGGGAGACAGGGCCAGUAUCCCGAGGGGGGGAACCAGGGGGGAAUCUUCCGAAAUGGCGGAAAGCUUGAGGGAGCACCGCGGGGGGAGGGAUGAAGGUCUUGGGAUGGUAAACCUCUUUUAUGGGGAAAAAAAAUAUGUGAAGGAAACUGUGCACUUCUGGAGGGAACUUAAAAAGAAAGCCCGGGCAAACUCCGGC